rnacentral:rRNA from 1 species
AAAGAAACCAACCGGGAUUGCCUCAGUAACGGCGAGUGAAGCGGCAAGAGCUCAAAUUUGAAAGCUGGCCCCUCCGGGGUCCGCGUUGUAAUUUGCAGAGGAUGCUUCGGGUGCAGCCCCCGUCUAAGUGCCCUGGAACGGGCCGUCAUAGAGGGUGAGAAUCCCGUAUGGGGCGGGGUGUCUGCGUCCGUGUGAAGCUCCUUCGACGAGUCGAGUUGUUUGGGAAUGCAGCUCUAAAUGGGUGGUAAAUUUCAUCUAAAGCUAAAUACUGGCCGGAGACCGAUAGCGCACAAGUAGAGUGAUCGAAAGAUGAAAAGCACUUUGAAAAGAGAGUUAAAUAGCACGUGAAAUUGUUGAAAGGGAAGCGCUUGCAACCAGACUCGCCUCCGGGGUUCAGCCGGCCUUCGGGCCGGUGUACUUCCCCGGGGGCGGGCCAGCGUCGGUUUGGGCGGCCGGUCAAAGGCCUCCGGAAUGUAGCGCCCUUCGGGGCGCCUUAUAGCCGGGGGUGCAAUGCGGCCAGCCUGGACCGAGGAACGCGCUUCGGCACGGACGCUGGCAUAAUGGUUGUAAACGAC